rnacentral:rRNA from 1 species
UACGGGGGGGGCAAGCGUUGUUCGGAAUCACUGGGCUUAAAGGGCGCGUAGGCGGGUUUGCAAGUCUGCGGUGAAAGCCUCCAGCUUAACUGGAGAAGUGCCGUGGAUACUGCGGAUCUCGAGGAGGGUAGGGGCAUCUGGAACGGUCGGUGGAGCGGUGAAAUGCGUUGAUAUCGACCGGAACUCCGGUGGCGAAGGCGAGGUGCUGGACCCUUUCUGACGCUGAGGCGCGAAAGCCAGGGGAGCGAACGGG